rfam:Echinococcus multilocularis genomic scaffold, pathogen_EMT_contig_0401
UACCUGGUUGAUCCUGCCAGUAGUCAUAUGCUUGUCUCAAAGAUUAAGCCAUGCAUGUCUCAGUUCAGGCCUUAAUACGGUGAGACCGCGAAUGGCUCAUUAAAUCAGCUAUGGUUUAUUGGAUCGUGCCCGUUAGAUGGAUAACUGUAAUAACUCUAGAGCUAAUACAUGCCUCGAUGCCCUGACCCUGCUUGCUUGCGGGCGGUGGGGGAUGGGUGCACUUAUUAGACCAGAAGCCAACCAACCAACUGUGCGUGUGCGGCCCACUGCGAGGUGGACGUGGCGUGCGUUGUGACACUCACUUCUGGUGACUCUGGAUAAUUGUUACAGAUCGCAGUCGGCGCUGAGUCGGCGACGGGUCCUUCAAAUGUCUGCCCUAUCAACUUUCGAUGGUAGGUGACCUGCCUACCAUGGUGGCGACGGGUAACGGGGAAUCAGGGUUCGAUUCCGGAGAGGGAGCCUGAGAAACGGCUACCACUUCCAAGGGAGGCAGCAGGCGCGCAAAUUACCCACUCCCGGCACGGGGAGGUGGUGACGAAAAAUACCGAUGCGGGACUCCUUCAAGAGGCUCCGUAAUCGGAAUGAGUGGACUCUAAACCCCUUCACGAGGAUCAAUUGGAGGGCAAGUCUGGUGCCAGCAGCCGCGGUAACUCCAGCUCCAAUAGCGUAUAUUAAAGUUGCUGCAGUUAAAAAGCUCGUAGCUGGAUCUCGGUGGCAUUGUUGCCUGUUGGUGAUUGAGCGGCGGGUGUGUGGUCGUCGGUGCGCGGUUGCCUCGGCGCCUGCAUGUUGGUGGGCCGGUCAGUAGUUGGGCUGGUGGGGUGGCGUUUGUUGCGGUAGGGUGGUUGGUUGGAAGCGAAUAUUUGUGUUCUCAGGAGAUUUCGAUGCAAGUGAAAUUUUUGUCUUCUGGGGUGAUUUUGUUAAAAGGGAAUUUUUUGUGCUCUGGGGUGAUUUCUU